rnacentral:rRNA from 1 species
UUAGUCAAUGGCCUAACGGCUGAACUGGCAACUUGGAGAAGUGGCAAGUCUUCCAGUAUGGGGAGCAAAACAGCUAUGGGUCAAGUCCGAUAUCUUUAGGAGGCGCGAAGCUCCUCUUAUUGUGAGGGCGAGUUUUAUAACACCAUAGGACUGGCCGUCCCAUAUGAAAAGAUUAUAUUAGAAUUGAAUGAAGCUUUGUUUAUAUAUUGAUAAUGACAGUAUAUAUAUCGUGUCUUGACUAAUUGCGUGCCAGCAGUCGCGGUAAUACGUAAGAGACUAGUGUUAUUCAUCUUAAUUAGGUUUAAAGGGUACCCAGACGGUCAAUAUAGCUUAUAAAAUGUUAGUACUUGACUAGAGUUUUAUGUAAGAGGGCAGUACUUGAGGAGGAGAGAUGAAAUUUCGUGAUACCAAAGGGACUCGGUAAAGGCGAAGGCAGCCCUCUAGGUAAAAACUGACGUUGAAGGACGAAGGCACAGAGAACAAACAGGAUUAGAUACCCAAGUAGUCUUUGCAGUAAAUGAUGAAUGCCAUAGGUUAGAUCUGAGUUGGUAGUCUAGUUGAGUUAGUUUACUAAACUAAUGAUCUAUACAAGCCAGCCUUAGAUUUGGUCUAUAAAUGAAAGUGUAAGCAUUUCACCUCAAGAGUAAUGUGGCAACGCAGGAACUGAAAUCACUAGACCGUUUCUGACACCAGUAGUGAAGUAUGUUAUUAU